rnacentral:rRNA from 1 species
UACGUAGGCGGCAAGCGUUGUCCGGAUUUACUGGGUGUAAAGGGCGUGCAGCCGGGCUGACAAGUCAGAUGUGAAAUCCCGCGGCUCAACCGCGGAACUGCAUUUGAAACUGUCAGUCUUGAGUACCGGAGAGGUCAUCGGAAUUCCUUGUGUAGCGGUGAAAUGCGUAGAUAUAAGGAAGAACACCAGUGGCGAAGGCGGAUGACUGGACGGCAACUGACGGUGAGGCGCGAAAGCGUGGGGAGCAAACAGG